rnacentral:rRNA from 1 species
UUCGAACGGCAGCACGGGUGCUUGCACCUGGUGGCGAGUGGCGAACGGGUGAGUAAUACAUCGGAACAUGUCCUGUAGUGGGGGAUAGCCCGGCGAAAGCCGGAUUAAUACCGCAUACGAUCUACGGAUGAAAGCGGGGGACCUUCGGGCCUCGCGCUAUAGGGUUGGCCGAUGGCUGAUUAGCUAGUUGGUGGGGUAAAGGCCUACCAAGGCGACGAUCAGUAGCUGGUCUGAGAGGACGACCAGCCACACUGGGACUGAGACACGGCCCAGACUCCUACGGGAGGCAGCAGUGGGGAAUUUUGGACAAUGGGCGAAAGCCUGAUCCAGCAAUGCCGCGUGUGUGAAGAAGGCCUUCGGGUUGUAAAGCACUUUUGUCCGGAAAGAAAUCCUUGGCUCUAAUACAGUCGGGGGAUGACGGUACCGGAAGAAUAAGCACCGGCUAACUACGUGCCAGCAGCCGCGGUAAUACGUAGGGUGCGAGCGUUAAUCGGAAUUACUGGGCGUAAAGCGUGCGCAGGCGGUUUGCUAAGACCGAUGUGAAAUCCCCGGGCUCAACCUGGGAACUGCAUUGGUGACUGGCAGGCUAGAGUAUGGCAGAGGGGGGUAGAAUUCCACGUGUAGCAGUGAAAUGCGUAGAGAUGUGGAGGAAUACCGAUGGCGAAGGCAGCCCCCUGGGCCAAUACUGACGCUCAUGCACGAAAGCGUGGGGAGCAAACAGGAUUAGAUAC